rnacentral:tRNA from 1 species
GUAGCUCAGUGGUAGAGUGCUUGCCUUGCAUGCAUGAAGCCCUGGGUUCAAUUCCUCAGC